rnacentral:rRNA from 1 species
UGGGGAAUUUUGGACAAUGGGCGAAAGCCUGAUCCAGCAAUGCCGCGUGUGUGAAGAAGGCCUUCGGGUUGUAAAGCACUUUUGUCCGGAAAGAAAUCCUUGGCUCUAAUACAGUCGGGGGAUGACGGUACCGGAAGAAUAAGCACCGGCUAACUACGUGCCAGCAGCCGCGGUAAUACGUAGGGUGCAAGCGUUAAUCGGAAUUACUGGGCGUAAAGCGUGCGCAGGCGGUUUGCUAAGACCGAUGUGAAAUCCCCGGGCUCAACCUGGGAACUGCAUUGGUGACUGGCAGGCUAGAGUAUGGCAGAGGGGGGUAGAAUUCCACGUGUAGCAGUGAAAUGCGUAGAGAUGUGGAGGAAUACCGAUGGCGAAGGCAGCCCCCUGGGCCAAUACUGACGCUCAUGCACGAAAGCGUGGGGAGCAAACAGGAUUAGAUACCCUGGUAGUCCACGCCCUAAACGAUGUCAACUAGUUGUUGGGGAUUCAUUUCCUUAGUAACGUAGCUAACGCGUGAAGUUGACCGCCUGGGGAGUACGGUCGC